GCGGGGAGCAGACCUCGGACGGCUUUUGUGCGGCGGCGGCGGCGGCGGCGGCCCCGGGGAGGGAGGGGCAUGGGGGAUGGGGACGGGGGUGGGGGAUGGGGGCGGGCCUUCUCCCGCUUCCUUCCCUCCGCCCCGGGCCUGGCGCGCCUGCUGCGGCCUCAGCGGCACCCCCGGAGCGCGCGCUCGCGUGCAGUCGGACCCGCCCGCGCUGCCCCCGCGGACCUCCCCACGGCCGCGGCCCCCCCGCCCCGGGCUGCCCGCCCUUCUUGACUGCGCCGAGCAAAUGCAGCUGGGCCCGCUCGAACAUCCUGUGUUUGUUGCUGGCAUCCGUGAAAUGGUGAGAGGACCCAGACCCUUCACAGAUCCUGAAACUACUGGUCUACCUACGAGAAUCAUGAUGCUGUUGGCCUAAUCUUCACCUCCCUAUGCUUGUCCUUCUGUGAAAAGAAGAUAAGAGAGGGGAUGAGUCAAGUAACAUAAUAAACGUCUGAGAAGGUAAGAAGAAAAACUGCCUUUUCUUCAUAGGGUUUCUCACUAUUUCAGAUGAUUUAUUGACUUGCUUUAUGUCUGUCUCUUCCAGUAGAAUGCAAGCUCCUAGAAGUCAGGGACCUUUUGAUUUAUCACUGUAUCUUAAUGAAUAAAGUAGUGUCUAGCAAUGUCAAGGCUUAAUAAAUAUUUGUCAAAUGAAUUAAUGAUUAUUUGGGCCUUGAGCCACUAGUUGGGGUGAAUUGGUAGUACUCAUAAUGGGUUGCUGUGGCUCGUAAUAGACGUCUGUUUGCUCGUGAAUGGCAUUUAGAGCUAUUCCUCUUGUCUUUGUGAAUCAGCACUGAAUCUUUGUGUUCCUAUGAGGGUGUGGGUUUUGUUUAGGUCCUUUAAAGAGAAUUCCCCCCCAAAAUAAUUUUGCUAAUCAUCUUAAUUACUAAAGGAAGUCCAAUAUGGGGAUAGAAAGAAAUGAACUCUGUAUCGUGAAUGACCAUACAUACUGGGUGCUUUACUUGUGCUGUCUCAUUUAAUUCUUAAAACUCUGUGAGGUUAAUAUAUUAAUUCUAUUUCAUAAAUAAAGGACAUAGAUACAGGCAAGUUAAACAACUUGCUUGAGGAUACAUAGAUACUAAAGGGUACAGCUUAUUUUUUCUGGCUUCAAAAUUUCUUUUUGAUACAACGUUCUACAGAAUUGUGAUACUUUAUACCUUAUGAAUAACAUUUAGGAUGUGUAUUUGUCAGUGUUCAGUGUAAACAAAUAGAAUUUGGGGUGCGUGUAUAUAUAUAUAUAUAUAUUUUUUUUUUUUUUUUUUUUUUUUACAAAGGAAGGUAUUUAAUAGAGGGUGCUCACAGAAAUGAAUGGUCAGGAUUGGAGAAGUGAGUUAUAGACAAAGCUUCCAAGAAUCAGUGAUUCCAGUACAAUACAGAGUUGACCUGUCAGUGGAGCUGUGACUGCUGAGGACUUUAGGAAUACGAGUUUUAAUAACAUAACCCUACAAUAGCAAGCAGAGCCAAUAAGCUACUGCUGUCCAACUGUCACAACUGCUUAUUGUCUUUCAGGGGGCUGAGUAAUGGGCCUUGGUGCACUGCUUCAGAAGCUGUGUUGUAGUGACUUUAAUUAUUAGAGAAAAAACAGACAAGUGGUCAAGGAGACAUCCCAACUUCUCUUAUGUUUUCUUAAUCUUGCACGGAUAUAUCUGAUUGACAGACCUUCUUCAUAGCUCUAGGUGCAAAGAGGUCUAGAAACCAUCGUAAGCUUCCAGUCUCUGCCUGUGAAAGACACCAUAAGAGGAGGGUGGAAUGGACAUUAAGUGAGCCAACCUGCAGUACUUACCACGGGCAAUACUGGGAGAAAUACAGACACAGAUACAGAAAUACAUGUAAGAAAUACACAAAGAGAAUGGAUGAAGAUGUUUAAAACUGACUCUGUCCAGGAAAACCUACUCAUAUGUAAUUAUUUAUUUUAACUCCAAACUCCUAACAUUGAAAUCUUUAUGGCUAUUGGGGCACCUGGGUAGUUCAGUCCAUUAAGCAUCUACCUUCAGCUCAGGUCAUGAUCCCAGAGUCCUGGGAUCGAGUCCCUGCAUCUGGCUCCCUGCUCAGUGGGGAGUCUGCUUCUCCUCCUUCCCCUUACUCAUGCUCUCUUACUCACUCUCUCGCUCACUCUCUCAAAUAAAUAAAAUCUUUAAAAAUAAAUAAAUGAAUCUUUAUGGCAAUGAGUUAUCUUGGUGAAAAUAUCCAUGCACAUGAUAACUAAGGCCAGUAAUAUAUCUCAAUGUGCACAUAUCAGAGAAGGGAAAAUUAUUUGUGGUACAGGAUCAUCACUUUCAUUUUUUUUUGUAGUCCUUUGUUUGCUAACACUACUAUUGGCAUGAUUUGGGGGAAGAGGAGGCUCAUUUCCAGCAGGCCCCAGGUCUUUCUUUGGAUUCUCUUUGGCUCUGGUUUCUCGUAUGCCAACACAGUACUCAAAUCAGAAAGGCUUAACAACUUAGUACUCCAAAGCUUCGAAGACACUUAGCACAUCCAAGCAUUUUACAUGGAAGCCGCAGGGAAGCAAAAAGAUUUGCCUGGGAUCUCAGGGAGACUGGAUUAGAAGCCAAGUUCUCUGGCUUCCUGUCCAAACCUUUCUUCAUCACAAUAAAAUCAAGCCUUGGACUGUAUGCCUCCUCAACACAGAAUGAAAACGUAUGUGUGAAUGUAUAUGUGUGUACGUGAGAGAAAGGGAGAGAUGGCCAGAUUCCAUUUACAUCAAGUUCAGUAACAGGCAUAACAGCUGUAUUUUUUGGGAAAUAUACUUGCAUGUUAACCAUGAAGCAAAGUGAGGAAAUAUUAACCAUCAAAGUCUGGUUAGCAGUGGCCGGCGGAGGGUGGGGGAGUUGUUACUAGUAAAAGGCACACGGGAACUUGUGGAGUGAUGGCAAUGUCUCAGGAGACUCAGUUUUAUAGGACUGAAAUUUUGUUUUUGGGGUUGUUGUUUGUUUUUUUUUUUUUGGCAUGCAGUGUAACGUAUUUGACUUUCUUGUCUUCAGUAACACUUUGUGUUAGUCCUUCCUGUAUAUUAGAGCCAGGCUGCGUGCUUUUCAUGGAUGACUUCCUUUCACUCUCACCAGAACACUCUCAAGGAGGCACUGUUAUUAUCCCCAUUUCAUAGAUGAGCAAACUGAGAUGCAGCCUUCACUAACCUGUCCAGGUCCACACAGUUAGGUAGCAGAGCUGGUAUUUGAUUCAUCUGGCUGCAGUGUCAGCUGCUUAACCAUUCUGUUGCACGACCCACCAGAAACUGAGUGACUGAGUAAAUUAUGGACGUUUCUUUCCAUUAUUAUUUUUGCAAUCACAAAAGUUACCGUUAUGAUAACUAGGUUAAUAAGAGAAAAAGGCAGGAUACAAAACUUUAUACACACACACAUAGCAAUGACAUCUCUGUUAAAAAUAUGUACACAUAGCUGUAAAAGGCCAGAAUAUAAAACACUGGUAAGAUGAUGAAAAUGUUGGUGCUUUGUCCCCCAUCUUCUCUGUUUUCCAAAUUUAUUUUAAAGUGGCCAUAUUAAAUUUACAAUGGGAAAACGUUCUGUAAAAUAAACUUCCCAUACACCUGAAACAUAAAAUUUCAUUUCCGCACUCUUCUUUGCUACAGCUUUGUAUAAUCUUGAGAAGCCUCUUCUGCUCAACGAGUGACUUCAUUACUAAAUUGAUGGCACCCGAUCACUCUAGCUAUGCAAAUCGCAAACCCACAGCCAGCUGAGGAAAAGGCAGAUAAAAGAUUACAUUAAAAAUUAAAGCAACGUGUGGAGAUGUGGAGAUAAUGUGCUUACAAUUAUUUCUACAUAUUUAAUAUUUAUGCAAUUACAAAGCCAGUCAUGACAAAUCUUAAAUCUUGAGUUCUAUUCCUUUUGCCCUCUGGUAUUUUUGACCUUGAACUGAGACUGCCAAAUCACAUAUAAAAAAUGGCUGUGGGAGAAGCAUUUCCUUUGGCCUAUAAAUGAUAAAUGCUUUUUUCUUAGAAAGUGAUCUCAUUUCUUCCAAGCCUUUGUUUAUUUUCAAUGCCUUGUACUUUUUUUUUUUUUUUUAUUCUGUUAUAUCCUGAUCACCCUUGAAAGCGCUGGGCUUUCAGUCUUCCACAGUUUGGUGGUGGUGUUUUCUGGUGGUGCUGCUGUGAUGUGUUUUUUGUCAGAGGAAAUUUACAGGCACAUUAGCCUACUUGACAGGCACAAUGAGCCACAAGGCUCUCCUAAGGAGCAACUUCCACGUGCCGUGGUGAGGUUUUCUGCAUCUCUCCAUCCCACCCUCCCUCUUACGCUUUCCCCCUCCAUGAUUCAGACACAAACCCCAACCACUUUCGUUUAUAAGAAUUACCUUGUAUCCUGGAUUUAACUCUCUGGUUCCUGAUCAUGGCGUUACAUCAGUUCUGUAUUAAUUAAUUCAUGUUCCUGCAACAAUCUGGCUAGAGUAGUUUGUGGAUACAACCAAUGUCCUCUCUUACAGCCAUCUAGAUAUCAAAUAAGGGACGGAUGAUGGGAACCUUUUUUUUUUUUUUCUAUGAUGAGUAGUUGACAUAAACUGGAGAAAACAGCAUCCAAGGACUAUACAAAUGAAAAGCAAUAUAAUUAAAUUUUAUGGAGGGUGUUUAGAGAGAAAAUUCUAAAACAAUUUUCUCAGUUUGUCAUAGAAAAAUAGUCGAAAAGAAUCAAUAAAACUUAUUAAAAAUUCAAAAAUCAUAAAAUGAGACAUGACUGAAAGGGUAAACUGUUUUCUUGGCAGAUUCCAAAUAUAUUAGAGUAUUUCCCUGCAGCCACUGGGGAACUGCCGGCCUGUGCAUUUUCAGCUUCGUGUAUACUGUGUUGCCCCUAGGGGAGUAAAUUUGCUAAGACAUAGCAGUUCUGGUAUAUUCAGCCCCUGACUUGAUGUUAAGCUAUCUCUUCAAUUUAACAUCUUCCAGGCCUUUUAAAUAAUUUUUGCAGGGUGAUUUUAUUUUGCGAUUAUUCCUUUUGUCCUUGUUAUGUUGGGACCAUAAGCAUGUAACUAUGUAACCUACAGAGAUUACUUAGAACAGUUGGAGGGAUGCCUGGCUGGCUCAGUCUGAGGACUGCGUGGCUCUUGAUCUUGGGGCCAUGAGUUCGAGCUCCA
rnacentral:lncRNA from 1 species